rnacentral:rRNA from 1 species
AUUGAACGCUGGCGGCAGGCCUAACACAUGCAAGUCGAGCGGCGGCGGACGGGUGAGUAACGCGUAAAGAACUUGCCUCACAGCUAGGGACAACAUUUGGAAACGAAUGCUAAUACCUAAUACUGUGAGAGAGUUUUGCGUCCCAUUAGCUAGUUGGAGAGGUAACGGCUCACCAAGGCGAGGAUGGGUAGCCGGCCUGAGAGGGUGAUCGGCCAAAAGGGGACUGGGGCACGGCCCUUAGACCUACGGGAGGCAGAAGUGGGGAAUAGUGGACAAUGGACCAAAGUGUGAUCCAGCAAUUCUGUGUGUACGAUGAAGUUUUCGGAAUGUAAAGUGUUUUCAGUUGGGAAGCGGUACCAACAGAAGAAGUGACGGCUAAAUACGUGCCAGCAGCCGCGGUAAUAC